AACACUGUUAACCUGCGGUACCUGCGGAGGGAUCAUUAAAGAAUUACGCCCGGCUAGAGUUCGUUUAAUACACUGGACGUCGGUGCCGUAUUCAACCACUUGUAUACUUGUACCUGUUGCUUCCGUGGAGUUACAGGUGCUCAUCCUGUUCGCAGGUGUGAGUUACCUUCCACGGGUGUAUUUUGAAACCAUGUUUAGUUGAUUGUUGUGUCUGAAUAACUGUUUUAAUAAAGUUAAAAC
rnacentral:misc_RNA from 1 species